UACGUAGGUGGCAAGCGUUGUCCGGAUUUAUUGGGUUUAAAGGGUGCGUAGGCGGGUUAUUAAGUCAGUGGUGAAAGCCUUCAGCUUAACUGAAGAACUGCCAUUGAUACUGAUGAUCUUGAGUAUGAUUGAGGUGGGCGGAAUGUGUCAUGUAGCGGUGAAAUGCUUAGAUAUGACACAGAACACCGAUUGCGAAGGCAGCUCACUAAGCCAUAACUGACGCUGAUGCACGAAAGCGUGGGGAGCAAACAGG
rnacentral:rRNA from 1 species